UAUUGUUGUUGUUUGGGUUUUGUUUUCCUUUUUGGUAUAGGUAGGCGAGGCGGGGCUUGAUGGCAUUCCGGCACACCUGCGGCGCAUCGGACGUCAUCAGUGAGCGCUUUUAGGGAGCAGAGUCACGGACGUCUGGUGUCGGAGUAUUGUCGCUGUCACAAGUGCCUGUUCCACUGCUUGCCCGCCUGCCUAGGUUUUUGUGUUGGCUACUGUGGAUCCGCGACGGAGAGCUACGUUCCAUCGGGCUGCGGUCACUGCAGCAGCCGUGGUUUGUGUUUCAAGUAGCUCCGGUGCGUCAUCUGCCUACCCGCAUACCUCGGCUUCGUCUCAUCUCUUCGGUGUUAAUCUCCUGGCACAUUUUUAUCUAUCACUGUAUAUAGCCCCCUUCCUUGUAAAUAUUCCCUAUUCUUGUAUAUAAACUUGCA